CCUACGGGUGGCAGCAGUGGGGAAUAUUGCGCAAUGGGCGAAAGCCUGACGCAGCGACGCCGCGUGAGGGAUGAAGGUCUUCGGAUCGUAAACCUCUGUUAGCAGGGAAGAACGGUCACUGUGCUAAUCAGCAGUGAAUUGACGGUACCUGCAAAGGAAGCACCGGCUAACUCCGUGCCAGGAGCCGCGGUAAUACGGAGGGUGCGAGCGUUAAUCGGAAUUACUGGGCGUAAAGCGCUCGUAGGCGGUAUGUCAAGUCAAGGGUGAAAUCCCCGCGCUCAACGUGGGAACUGCCUUUGAGACUGGCAAGCUGGAGUGUGUGAGAGGUUGGUGGAAUGCCAGGUGUAGGAGUGAAAUCCGUAGAGAUCUGAAGGAACAUCGGUUGCGAAGGCGACUAUCUGGCACAUAACUGACGCUGAGGAGCGAAAGCGUGGGUAGCAAACAGGAUUAGAUACCCGAGUAGUC
rnacentral:rRNA from 1 species